GAACCAGUACCGUGAGGGAAAGGCGAAAAGAACCCCGGGAGGGGAGUGAAAUAGAUCCUGAAACCGUGUGCAUACAAACAGUCGGAGCCUCUUCGUGGGGUGACGGCGUACCUUUUGUAUAAUGGGUCAGCGACUUACAUUCAGUAGCGAGGUUAACCGUAUAGGGGAGCCGUAGAGAAAUCGAGUCCGAACAGGGCGACAGUCGCUGGGUGUAGACCCGAAACCAAGUGAUCUACCCAUGGCCAGGAUGAAGGUGCGGUAACACGCCCUGGAGGUCCGAACCCACUAAUGUUGAAAAAUUAGGGGAUGAGCUGUGGGUAGGGGUGAAAGGCUAAACAAACUUGGAA
rnacentral:rRNA from 1 species